CCCUCCCCAUCCAUGGACGAAAAGCCUCUCCUUGUCUCGAGCCUCAAGGAGGACAUGUGCAUCGACAUCGGGGAUGACCCCAUCUUCUCCUACGAGCCGCAUUCGAUUGCCACUACCAGGGCCAGGAUCUCGACGACAUAUUCCCCAUCCUCGCCCCGCACCCUCAGAGUCACCCUCAGAGUUAUCUCCGUACAUCGCCUCGAUUGGGUGGCGGCAUUGGUAGGCGGGAGAUCUCGAAACAGUGGGAGAUUUAGGGCCCUGGUGAGCUUCGCCGUCGCCUACCCAGACCAAUUCUACGCCGCCAUGGCCUACACCGGCUUCGGCGCCAGAUGGGUCCUUCGUCCUCCACCGCCAUCAUAUCUCACUUCCAGAACAACGUCGCUAUCCUCCUCUAUGACCUAUACCGACAGGUGAUUUGUGAUUGAAAGGCAUGACUGUUUCUUACGGUCAGGAUCUGUACCCUCAUCAUAGGCUUAUGGCCUGGAUGUGUUUAGAGCUUUGGACAUACGCGUACAUCAUCAUGGCCGCCGCUAGACAAGUGGAGUGAGCAGAAUCCUAUGAUUGCAAGCCACUUCACUACUGAUGUUUAGGCCUGCAAUCAGGCUAUUACAGAGGGUGAUUCCUAAAUUUCUAUUUUAGUGGUGCAAUGUUUACAAAGAUCGGAAUCUGCGGUAACAUAGCAUUUGGACAGUGCAAGCAUAUGCAGGAAAAAAGUCGUUGCGUUUACUUGUGUUUAUUGAUUUUCAGGUGGAUCUACCUUUCUUAUACUGCAACAAGCGGGACAAUAAAUCCCUCUUCCUGGCGCUGUGGUUAUGCAGAAGCUGAGCUACCAAGAGAAAAGUCCAUACCUUUCCCCAUGAAGAUGGUUCUUUGAAGAUUCUUCAGUUCAACAUAGAUUCAGGGCGAUCCAAUCACGGUAACCAUCAUCCCAGCUAGGCUCAAGAUUGGAUCGUGCCAUCAUUGGUCAAUCACAGAUCUUUGGAGUUCUCUUUUGUCCCUGAUCCAGCACUCCUUACUUGGUCUUGGAGGUGGCAGAGUCACGUUAGGUGGGAGAUGGCAGAGCUGGUGGUGGUAGCGGCGCCGCUGCAGGAGUUGCUUGAGAGGCUCAUGGACUACUGCAAGAGGGCGCCUUCGUGCUCUAGGACGAUUUCACGCCGGAGCAGCGCAACCCUCUAGGUUGUUUUACACGAUUCUGAUUAGUGGUAUGCAAGUUAUAAUCUAAACAGUCUCAAUCUAGCAGUUUUUAUUUUGACAUUGCCAUUUGUUUGUCAGUUUCUUGCCUUUUCGGAUGAAUUAUUCUUUGG